rnacentral:misc_RNA from 1 species
GAAGGAUCUGUCUGGUACAGUGAGGGAGCACCAGUAUAUGGAUCAAAACCUAUAAUCAAGGUUGAGAGGCCAAAUGGUCGCACUCCACCACUUUGGGUAUACUUCUGUUGAAGACCUGCAAUGUAACGAGUAAUAUACUCAACAGUAACUGGAUCCUCAACUGUAAGACGAUGGCUUUGACACUCAAUCCGAGCUCUAUUGAUUAAGACGCGUGCAUCUGCCUUAAGCCCAGCGCAAGCUAGUGCAAUAUGGUUAUCAAGAUUCACAAUCUUCCUCACAGAUCUGGAGUCCUGGAGCUUAGGCGCAGCCUUCUUCUCAACACCGAGGACGAUAGUAUCGGUGCCACGAACACCGACGGCGGCGUUACCCUUCCGCACAGCUUCAAGAGCGUACUCGACUUGAAACAAAUGACCGUCAGGGGAGAAGACGG